rnacentral:piRNA from 1 species
GUUGGACUCUGUAGGUUGAGCUCA